rnacentral:rRNA from 1 species
AACUAACGCUGGCGGCGUGCCUAACACAUGCAAGUCGUACGAGAAAGCCGGCUUCGGCUGGUGAGUAAAGUGGCGCACGGGUGAGUAACGCGUGGAUAAUCUGCCCUUAAGUGUGGAAUAACGUACCGAAAGGUGCGCUAAUACCGCAUAAUGCCUGGCAACACAAGUUGUCCGGCCAAAGAAGGCCUCUGUUUACAAGCUUUCGCUUCAGGAUGAGUCCGCGUACCAUUAGCUUGUUGGUGGGGUAAUGGCCUACCAAGGCUGCGAUGGUUAGCUGGUCUGAGAGGAUGAUCAGCCACACUGGAACUGAGACACGGUCCAGACUCCUACGGGAGGCAGCAGUGAGGAAUAUUGCGCAAUGGGGGGCAACCCUGACGCAGCAACGCCGCGUGAGUGAGGAAGGUUUUCGGACUGUAAAGCUCUGUCGAGCGGGAAGAAGUGUACCAUGGCUAAUAUCCAUGAUAUUUGACGGUACCGCUAGAGG